CAGUAGCCGCGGUAAUACGAAGGGGGCUAGCGUUGCUCGGAAUGACUGGGCGUAAAGGGCGCGUAGGCGGCGGCCAAAGUCAGGCGUGAAAUUUCCGGGCUCAACCUGGGGGCUGCGUUUGAUACUUGGUUGCUUGAGUGGGGAAGAGGGUCGUGGAAUUCCCAGUGUAGAGGUGAAAUUCGUAGAUAUUGGGAAGAACACCGGUGGCGAAGGCGGCGACCUGGUCCUUUACUGACGCUGAGGCGCGAAAGCGUGGGGAGCAAACAGGAUUAGAUACCCCAGUAGUCCCUGUCUCUUAUAC
rnacentral:rRNA from 1 species